rnacentral:rRNA from 1 species
UUAAGUCCCGCAACGAGCGCAACCCUUGAUCUUAGKUGCCAUCAUUUAGUUGGACACUCUAAGGUGACUGCCGGUGACAAACCGGAGRAAGGUGGGGAUGACGUCAAAUCAUCAUGCCCCUUAUGACCUGGGCUACACACGUGCUACAAUGGACGAUACAAACGGUUGCCAACUCGCGAGAGGGAGCUAAUCCGAUAAAGUCGUUCUCAGUUCGGAUUGUAGGCUGCAACUCGCCUACRUGAAGCCGGAAUCGCUAGUAAUCGCGGAUCARCAUGCCGCGG